rnacentral:lncRNA from 1 species
UCCCUUAGGAAGCUCAUUCAAUUCCCACGUGUUAUUUCUUACAAUUGCUGCAAUUUCUUCAUCCAUUACCUUUUGCCACUUUGAGUCUUUCAUAGCCACAUCAAAAAUUGUAGAAUCAUAGUAUGAAAACAAAGCAAAAUGAGUAAGUGGAUCUUCAAACCAAUCAAUUCUAGUUACCUCAUAAUCUAUCAUCCGUGCAAGUCGUCUCCUAAUACGUUGAGGUCGGUCCACUUCUUGUGUAUGAGCU